CAAGACCUUGCGCUUUUGGAGCGGCCGAUGUCUGAUUAGCUAGUUGGUGGGGUAAAGGCUUACCAAGGCUUCGAUCAGUAGCUGGUCUGAGAGGACGACCAGCCACACUGGGACUGAGACACGGCCCAGACUCCUACGGGAGGCAGCAGCGGGGAAUUUUGGACAAUGGGGGAAACCCUGAUCCAGCCAUGCCGCGUGAGUGAAGAAGGCCUUCGGGUUGUAAAGCUCUUUCAGCCGGAACGAAAAGGUCAUGGCUAAUACCCGUGACAAAUGACGGUACCGGAAGAAGAAGCACCGGCUAACUACGUGCCAGCAGCCGCGGUAAUACGUAGGGUGCAAGCGUUAAUCGGAAUUACUGGGCGUAAAGCGUGCGCAGGCGGUUUUGUAAGUCAGAUGUGAAAUCCCCGGGCUUAACCUGGGAACU
rnacentral:rRNA from 1 species